rnacentral:misc_RNA from 1 species
UCAAACUUGGUCAUUUAGAGGAAGUAAAAGUCGUAACAAGGUCUCCGUAGGUGAACCUGCGGAGGGAUCAUUACUGAGUGAGGGCCCCCGGGCUCGAUCUCCCACCCUUUGACAAACGUCCGGCUUGCCUCGGGGGUGACCCGGACCUCUGGCGUCCGGGUGCCCCCGGAGGGAUACUUACUCUGCGUUUUUGCGUCGGAGUCGAAUGGAAAAUUGAAUGAAAACUUUCAACAACGGAUCUCUUGGUUCUGGCAUCGAUGAAGAACGCAGC